CUCAUUAAAAUGGACAACGAUAGUGUGUCAUUAUAUUUGCUAUAAUGUCCAUGGUUAAUGAAAU
rnacentral:pre_miRNA from 1 species